UGGGGUUUAGCUCAGUGGUAGAGUGCAUGCUCAGCAUGCACAAGGUCCUGGGUUCAAUCCCCAGUACCUCCA
rnacentral:tRNA from 1 species